UGCGCACUACACAGUAGCCAGUAGCCAAGGAAGGACGACGGUGGUGUACACCUUGCUGUCUUUAUUAACCUGGAUAUUUGCUGGACGACACGGUGACCUUGGGAUUUUCUUCCUCAGUGUACUAAUGUAUGUGAGAACGGUGCCUAGGAUGUUCAGCAACUUGUUUAUGUGGUUCGGGAAGAGUUAUACCCUUGUUUCAGACGUGCUUGAAGAGUGUUUCCUGUCGCCAUAGCUGAGUGAAUUUCGUCGUUGAUCCAGGGAGCAAAAGGUUUCUUCCUUACCGGGAUGACAAAAGGGGCGCUGUGGUCAAGACAGUCUACGUAUGGUUCAUUCAGGGCUGGGUGCAAGAUCCAAGAAGCAGGACGCUGUGUAUGUUGCUACAAACAACCUUUAUACUAAUUUCCCACCCGCAUAGCAAACCUCAUCAAAUGACAUCACAAAGUUUCGUUGCUGUUGGCGGGUGGAAGAUGCUAGCCGGCCUAAGAGUUUUCUUUGGCUGCUAGGACUGGUACGUCAUUACCGUGUCAUCAUGAGGACAGGCAGCCAAUCAUAAGACAGCUUUUAUGUUAUCCCUACUCCAGGGCUGAGGAAAUCAUAUGGCAUGCUUCACAAACAC